rnacentral:rRNA from 1 species
AUACGGAGGGGGCUAGCGUUGUUCGGAAUCACUGGGCGUAAAGCGCGCGUAGGCGGAUACUUAAGUCAGGGGUGAAAUCCCGAGGCUCAACCUCGGAACUGCCCUUGAUACUGGGUAUCUUGAGUUCGAGAGAGGUAAGUGGAAUUCCGAGUGUAGAGGUGAAAUUCGUAGAUAUUCGGAGGAACACCAGAGGCGAAGGCGGCUUACUGGCUCGAUACUGACGCUGAGGCGCGAAAGCGUGGGGAGCAAACAGGAUUAGAUACCCCGGUAGUCC